UACAGAGGUCCCAAGCGUUGUUCGGAUUCACUGGGCGUAAAGGGCGCGUAGGCGGUCGGGUAAGUCUGGCGUGAAAUCUCCAAGCCUAACUUGGAAACUGCGUUGGAUACUAUCCGGCUCGAGGAAUGGAGGGGAGACUGGAAUACUUGGUGUAGCAGUGAAAUGCGUAGAUAUUCGGAAGAACACCAGUGGCGAAGGCAGCGAAUUGGCGCUAUAUUGACGCUCAGGCACGAAAGCAUGGGGAUCAAACAGG
rnacentral:rRNA from 1 species